CGAAACGAUCGCCCAGCUCCACUUUUGCGAGCAGCGGGUGAAAUGAAAAUUAACAACUCGCUCCUGUCCCCAAAAGUGGGGCUGGGAGGAAAGUCCGGGCACCGUAGAGACGCGCUCCAGCUAACGGCUGGCUAGAGCAAUCUAAGGGAAAGUGGCACAGAAACAAAACAGCCAAUGUCCGGUUCAGUUAGGAGGAAUGGGUUGAUCAUGAACCAUUACAAGUAUUCUGUCGCAUACUGCAAACGCGUAAAGAGCAAUAGACCUGGAUGGCUUGGAGAGUUUGACGAUUUGGUUUGUAGUAAGUUUGAGAAUGGCGAAUUUGACGCCAUAGACAACUCACUUGCCAAGGAGCAUCUAUUCAACGACGUGCUCCCCGAGAAGGAUCGUGUCGCCAAGCAGAAUGAUUGGACGAACAGACUCUGUUUGAAUCUGUGGAAUAUGACCCCAGCCAACGGCGGGUUUGAAAACGUGAUACACCAAGGAACGACCACGAUUUGAGUCGCUAUGCAUGGACCCGGGGACAUACGUCCCCCUUCCUAACUGAAUCGGAACAGGCAAAGGUGAAAAGAGUGAGGUAAGAGCUCACAAUCGUCCUUAGUAAUAAGGCGAGUAGCUAAACCCAGCGUGGUGCAAGUUGAGUGGGCCAAUAUUUAAUCUAAGUUCAAAAUUCCCAAAAGGAAUACAGAGCUCCACUUCGGUCUCGAAGUAUAAAUACUGGUCUCAACGCACGAGGACGAUUAUUGGUUUAAGCCAAUAUCGUCCCGACUUCGUGUACCGUAAGGUACCGAGGUAGAUAGAUGAUCGUUCAAAAACAGAACCCGGCUUACCGACUU
rnacentral:RNase_P_RNA from 1 species